AGGUUUUUGUUCUUUCAAUUUCAAUUUUCUUCCGGUUAGAGAGUAUGUCGUUUUAAAGUAGAAGUGCCAUAUCGCUUACCUCCAGCUUUAAACACCUUCUUGCAUCCUUUACACUCAGAACGUUCUACUCCAUCCUUAUUUGGACCGAGUUUUCUAAAAAAAUUCCAAACAUCAGAUGUUGAUGGUCUGGCCCUUUUCGAACUAGGUUCAUCAACCUUGACCGGAGCAGCCUCAGAACUAGCUCCAGCAGUAACAAAGUUACUCACAGUUUUAGAAUUCAUAUUUUCUUAAAUAAAAGCAAAUGUUAAUUGUUAAACCAGAUAUCAACCAUUCUGAUUUAGUCAACACUCAAAACCAUUUAGUUUACACAGCAAAUUUGCAUCAGAUUUAAUCAACACUCAAAACCA